GUCACCAACAGUAAAGAGCCAUUAUAAAGGUAAAACAUUCAAGAUACAGUAAUACAUCCAUGUAAGCAUAUAAUCUCUCAUGUGUAUGGAAAACAUGCAAGCACCAGGGUACAUGAGGGCACGACGGAUGAUGUAAACAAAGUCUACAACGAAAUAGAUUAUUAGUACCAGGCACAUCAAAUUCAUGAGAAUUUGAUUCAAUAUCAAAGAAAGAGAAACGGGUAAAUGAUACAAGAGCUGAAGACAAUACAAAAUCUUCAACCCUGAACCUCCGCUACAUUCAUUCCUCCUCUUCAGCCUCCUCCAGCCAAUUAACAAAGGGUUCGAGUGCCUUCACAAAGGUUUGCCUGUACCAGUUAUAAAUAAGCAACUGAUAUAACAAGUGUGGUAGUGACAAGGUGUUAUGACAGACUCCGUAAGGAGGAAACUUUUUAGAGAUUUUUUAGUCAGAAAAAUGUUCACAAAAACUGCUUACCUUCCUUUGGGGUUUGUUCCUUUACGGAACCAAUGAAGAAUGGUAUCUUCAGCCAGCACAUCCUGUUCAUAAAGAGAUCUAAUAAUCUCAGGGAACAGCUUCAUCAGCUUAGCAUCCUCAUAGCAUUGCAUCUGUACUUUGUACAUCAGCUCCAGCUCAAGUUUUCCACUGGUGCAGAAAGUAUUCAACAGUUCUGCCCAUGUUUUCACCUUUAUCAUAAACAGAGUGAUGUCAACAACUUUAAUGAAGAAAAAUGUCACAUAUCAGCAAUGAAUACUGAGUGGUUUUCUCAAUAAGCAAUCAGAUGGAAAAUCCAUUCCCAAAAAGCAUAAUCAUGUAUAAUCAAACUGUGUGUAUUAACACCAUCUAAGAACACUAUCCACACACCAUAACAUGCCAAUCUUGCCCCUCCACAAUCACCCAUAGAACAUCAACAUAACAAAAGUACAAACCAAUGAACAUAUUACAGUCAAGGACAUUGUAUUACGGCCACAGACAUCAGAUGAAUAAACGUAAACAGGAACAUUCUAUACAUCAGUUCCUAUUCAAUAGGAUACCAAUGUACAGGAUAACAAAGUUGAAAAUCUCAAUCCAAGCAAAUACAAAUUGGCAUCAAAGCAAAAUUCUAAAAGUUACCUUGCGCAGGGCUGCAUUUGCAUUCUGUUGCUGAUUUUUCCCUGACCACUGAACAGCAUCCAUUAAAACAUCCCAUAAAAUCCGCACAAUCUCGGUUUCAGGCAACUUAGCAUCUCUAACCCGAAGCUUCACAGUCUCAAUAACUUCAGAUAUAUCAGCCUCCUCUGUUAUCUGUGUAGUUAAAGCAGACUUCAUUUCCUUGAGUGUCACCUCAAAUAUCUUCUUUUCAUUAUACUCCACCAAGGCGGUCAGUCCUUCCUUGCUAAAAAGUUGACAAUGAAUGAAUAAGCGUAUUCAUAAAUUCCAUCAUAAUUAACAGAGUAAUAAAAAUUGAUAAAACAGUCUACCAGUCCAGCUGUAGAAAAUGUCAAAAUAAUUCAAUGAAACAAAGUCUUCUAUUCUAUCAAUCAUCCCAGAUAACUGGAUGCUGUGGUUAGCAUGAUGGUUUUGCCAUUCAAAACAAAAAAAAUAUCACUCCAAGAUAUAUCAAACAGAUAGAAAACUUAUAAAAAGAAAAAACUUGUGUUGACCAAUUAGCAAAUGUUUUAAUUCAAGCAAAUAAUAUGAAACAGUGGGUUCAUAUAAUUCCAAACUGUAGGUAUCAUAAGAUUGGUACUAAACCAAUAGCAUUAAUGCAUUUUAUGUAAAAUUCCGUGAUGCAGUUAAGGUGUUGUAAAAUUCAUUCAGUUCCACUUCUUGAACAUUGGCAGAAAAGAGGGGGGAAAUGGUUCUAUUCAGGGAAUAAAAACAUCCCAACAAAUCCCGAAAACACUAAUUUAGACUUGAAUGCCUGCCUGCCCUUCUAAAAGAAUAUUUCACUUAACUACAUAGAGUCAGGUACCCAAAUAUAUUUCAUUAAAAUUAAUCUCAAAAGGUAUUAGAAUCCUGCAAUAAUAAACGUUCAUAGAAUGAGAUCAUCAAGGCUGUUGCAAUUGGCAAAAGCAAAAUAAAAUAGAAGAACCAUUGGCUUAGACAAAUAAAAUCAAUCCUGAUAUAUAACACAUUUUGAAGUAUCAUCAUUGAAGAUGCAUCCUUUUCACUAGCAGGUAAGAAUUACCUGAAAUGCUCAGAGAAAGACUCAUUGGUUCUUUUCGCAGGGGGGAAAAAGACCAAAAGAUUAUCUUCAACUUUUCCCCGUUUCAGAAUUGCAAUAAGAUCAUCCAGGCUGUUGUCAAUCAAAUACUCCUUAAAGAAGUCGGUUAUAAAUGUCAGAACUAGCCCUUUGGCCACAAGGUUAUCUUUAAGAAGUGGUUGGAACACAGUCUCUGGUGGGAGACCAGAUAGCUUCUGAGAGAAAGCGAGUGCUGUGAAGAUUGCCAACUUCUUCCUCUCAUUUUCCUCGAAAAGCUCCAAGGACUGGAGGAAUCUUCGCAUGACAUUUUCAAGGUUCUUGAUGAGAAAAGGCCUUCUCCGCAAAACCUUCUGUAUGUAGAUCACAGAUGGCAAAAUGACUUCACGUGUUGCCUCAUACUCUAUUAUGGAGUAAGGAUGGCGUUCGCCCUCAUCGGGUUUGGUAGUUCCAGGUUGUGUGCGGCCCCCAGUGAAAAUAACCUACAUUAAAUGAUUUGUAAGACAGUUGUAAGUUGGAUAGAAAUCAACAGGCAAUAUAAUAUCACAAAGCAUUGAGAACAUUGAAAUUAGAUGAUGACCUAAUUGAUACUUUAGUAUUUAGUCAAUGGCGUAAGAAAAUUAAAUGGGGUAUUCGAUGUCCUAUUUUUACCAAAAUCUGAGACUAUAAUCAUUGGUCUAUUUUACAGGUAUGAUGUCUAAAUGACUACGAUACUGAAUAAUGUGAAGACUUGCUUCAGAUUCCCUAGGAGAAUGGUAUACAAAGAGUAGGGAGAUUCUAUUCUUUUUCAGGUUAUAGAAGUACCUAGCAGGUGUUAUAAAAGCAGAUAUAUGUUUACACACAGAGACUCAGGUUUUCAAAUAGCAAAUAACGAUUUAAGCACGCCAAAGUACAAUAGUUAUAGUAUAAGUAUUAGUAUAUAGAUAUCCGCAAAGCAUGUAUGUCAUCAUAACAAGAACUAAGAAUCUAACUCUCCUACAGUCAUAUCAAAAUAGCAAAUAUAAAACACUUAAUACUAAAAUGAACGAAAAGACAACAAAUAUUCUGCUGGUUUAGUAAGCUUGCCUCAAAAAAGGUGUCACCGUAUCUUGAGAAAUUGAGGUCAGAAGAUUCAAUGCUUUUUGCAAUAAGUUCCUAUAAAUGUAAAUCAAUCAAUCAGUUUAGCAAGUCCAUCAAAACUUGACAGCGUGUGCAAUGCAAAUAAUCAACAAAUGAAUAGAUAUAAAAUGCUAUGAUAACAUACCAAAUCACCAGCAUUAUCCAAGUAAAUCUGGACCACUGCAUCAGCAAAUGCUGCAGGGUCCAGAGGCGCCGCGAUGUUCCGUUUGCGGGUCUUAAUCCGCGUGCCAC
rnacentral:lncRNA from 1 species